CUAACCAGUACUAAUGAACCGUGCGGCUUAACCUGACAACACCGAAGGUGUUU
rnacentral:rRNA from 1 species